GGAGGAGAGGCUAGAAUUCAGACUGAGAGACUCAGGUAGGCUUUACCAUAGAGGCUUCGGAGUUAGACUGGAAGACAGGGGGAUUUCUGUCUUUGAAUCUUCUGCCAGUAGAAUCUAGCUGGCAAGGGGACUAGAUGUGGCUGGAAAGAGCAGCUGAGGGAGGGAGGUUAAGCACCAGGAAGGAAUGGCGGCCACAGUAGACCGUGGGGCAUUCUUUUGAAGAAGUUUCACGUGGAGCCUUUCAUAGCCAUGCCUUUGAAAUUUGUUUUUGCUGCUCUCUGUACUUCCAAUGCCCUCCCCUCUCUCCAUUUGCACCUGGGAGCUCAGGCCAAGAAUGAAUGCAUCUGUUUUCCGCAGUGUUAUUGAUCCCCGUGGUGGGAAGUGAACUCUCCCUUUCCUAAGCCUGCUGGAGUUCAUUCUCUGUCGUCACCUUGCUAGUGGCCUUGCAGGUACUUGUACCUUGCAGCAUAAGUGCCACUACCCUGGGUUGCCCUGAAGGGAGAGAUGGCACCCUACACUUCCCUGCCCUCACUCAGGACUGGUUCCUGCCUGCCUCCUCCCUCAGCUCCUUCCUGCUAAAUGAGUCCAUGGAUGAGUUAUGGGAGCCCCUCAGGCAAUCCCCCACUGGCCUCAAGAGGUCUUGGCACUCACUAUGCAAUACAGUUAGAAUUCUCUGGGAAGCAGACGGAACUGAACCAUAACUAUUAUCGACUCUCGAGAUACCUCCCCAAGAUGUGUGUUCCCCUUUACCAGAAAAUAUGCCAGGCAGAGAAAGGAGAAAGUUUCAUGCCAGAAGGAUCCCUUGCAAAAGUCCCCUGGGUCUACAAUCUACAUUUGCUUUUUUUCUGUUUUGAUUUGACAGUUGAAAAACAAAAACCUAGCCCGUCAUUAUUCUAAGUAAGGCAAGAGAAGCUUGACAGGAUGCCUUCGUGAGCCCCUUCUCUGCAGCAGGGGAAGAAAGAAAAGGGGCUUGAAGCCUCUCUGCAGAGGCUCUUCCAGAGUGUGGCUGCAGGGUCCAGGUGACCCGUCAAUGGCGAAACUUCUGCGUUACUGUGAUGGAAGCAUUCAGACGAGGCUGGUCUGCAGAGGCCACUGAUGUCCUGGGUGCUCCUGAGCCUGCAGCCUCCUGCAAGCCCCCGCUCCACAGCCAGGACUCGUGAGGCCUUUGGAGGCCCUGGAGGUUUGCUUUGCCAUCUCUGCUUUGAGGGUCACGGAAGCAGAGUCUGACCCCACAACCAGCCCCAUGCCUUCCUUCCUCCCUUCUGUUCAUUUUCCCAGUGAAGCUUAGAGGGCUCCUUCUGUUGGCCAUGCCUGCCCACCCUGCUGUCCUGGUCCUGGGCCCAGACCACACUUGACUUUUCCUCUGUCUCCAGGAUGCACUGGAUGGCUGUGUGACUGCCCAUGGCAUAACCUUAGGGGGUGCCACUCACAUAAAUGGUGAGGUGAAUUGCACUAUGGAACGCAAUAGCCCAUGAGCCCCGUCCACAGCUCAUUACAGUCCUGGUCAGGGCGGAGUCCAUCAGAGGCUCCCCGGGUUGGCAAUUCAGGGUUUUUGUUGCUGUUGUUUCGAGAAAGGAUCUUGCUGUGUCAUCCACGCUGGAGUGCAGUGGUGCAAUCACGGCUCGCUGCAGCCUCAAUCUCCCGGGCUCAACUGAUUCUCCCACCUCAGCCUCCUAAGUAGCUGGAACCACAAGCAUGCACCACCACGCCUACCUAAUUUUUUAUUUUAAUUUUUUUCUUUUUUUUUCCACCUAUGUGACAACUGAAGAUCCCAGCUAAUUCUUUUUUUUUAAGAGAUGGGGUCUUGCUAUGUUGCCUAGGCUGGUCUUAAACUUCUGGACUCACGUGAUCCUCCCACCUCAGCCUCCCAAAAAUGCUGAGGUUACAGGUGUGAGCUGCCGCAUCCAGCAUUUUUAUUUUUUAUUUUUUUGAGACAAGGUCUCACUCUGUUGCUCAGGUUGGAGUGCAGUGGCACAAUCAUGGUUCACUGCAGCCUCAAACUCCUAGGCUCAAGCAAUCCUCCUGCCUCAGCCUCCCAAGUAGCUGGGACCACAGGUGUGUGUCACCACACCUAGCUAAAUUAAUUAAUUAAUUAGUUAUUAUUAUUUUGUAGAGACAGGGGCUCCCUAUGUUGCCCAGGCUGGUCUUGACCUCCUGGUAUCAAGUGAUCCUAUCACCUUGAACCCUCAAAGCGCCUAUCCCUAUUUCUCUUUUUUCUAAAAGAAAAAGUUCAGUGACAAUGACAAGUGGUAAUUCACACGUGGCCUCAAUGUUGCGGAGAAACUAAAGGACGGAGGAGGAAAAGUGGAACGUGUAAGCCUUAAAUAAAGACGGUAGCUUCUACUUAGUUCUAGCAGAUUCCUGCCAAGAGAGGAUGAUAGCAGAAUGUUGCCAUGGCUGCUUCUUUAUUCGCUAGAAGCAGAAAUCCGUAUUUUUGGAUGAAGCUUCCUGCUUUUUAAAUGUUGGCUCAAAUGAAAGACAAAACAGGAAUCCAGGCUAGGGGAGAGGGUGACUUGGAGCAGGGGGCUUGCAGGGAGGUGUGAGAAGUGAGAAUAUUCUGAAGGCAGAGAUUUCCUCAUGGGUUGGGUGUGGGCUAUGAGAGAAAAAGACAGAAAAAGAGGAAGCAGGAUGAUUCCAAGUUGUUUUUUUUUUUUUGAGACGGAGUCUCGCUCUGUCGCCCAGGCUGGAGUGCAGUGGCGUGAUCUUGGCUCACCGGAAGCUCCACCUCCCGGGUUCACGUCAUUCUCCUGCCUCAGCCUCCCGAGUAGCUGGGACUACAGGCGCCCGCAACCACACCCGGCUAAUUUUUUGUACUUUUCGUAGAAAUGGGGUUUCACCGUGUUAGCCAGGAUGGUCUCGAUCUCCUGAUCUCGUGAUCCACCAGCCUCAGCCUCCCAAAGUGCUGGGAUUACAGGCAUGACCCAAUGCGCCCAGCUUCUUUUUUUUUUUUUUUUGGCUGAGCCUCUGGGCUCCUCCUAAUGACCCCCUGCGUCCUGCUUUCUCCCUCACGCCUGGCAUGUCAGUCUCAACGCAGCGCCCGAGGGCUUCUUUAAAACCCAAGUCAAAUCAUACACUCCUCUGCUCAAAGGCCACCAAUCGCGCCCACACCAUCAAAGUAAAAGCCCAGGCCCAGGAAGUAGAAUGGGGGCUGUCAAGAGCUGGGGAAGGGGGAGCUAGUGUUUAAUAGGUGUAGCGUUUCAGCUGGGGGAUGAGAAAGUUCUGGAGAUGGAUGGUGGAGAUGGUUGUGCAACAAUGGGAAUGCUAUAAACGUGGGUGGGGAAGACUUCAGAGGAGGAAGUUUUAUGGGGGAGAGCAGGAGCUCAGUUUGGGGCAUGUCAAGAAUGAGAUGCCUUAUUAAACAUUCGAGCCAAGACACUGAACAGAGCUGAGUCUGGAGUUCACAGAGAGCCAAGCUGGGGACAUGGAUUUGCAAUCAAUCAGUGCACAGAUGGCAUCAGUUCCACGGGACUGAGAGUUCACCAGCGUAGCGAGAACAGCCAAAACCAAACCAAACCAAAACGUUCUCCACAGGUCCCAGGAGUGAGCCAGAGACUUUAAGCUGAAAGGAGGAGGGAGAGACAUGAAGGCUGCACAUACACAGAAAAAAAAAAAAACCCAACAACAUGUGGGGACACGGAGAAGGCAUAGCCUGAGGAGAAACCAGCCAUGCCAACACCUUGAUCUCAGACUUCUAACCUCCAAAACUGUGAGAAAACGAACGCCUAUUGUUAAGUUGCCCAGCCUGUGGUAUUUUGUUACGGAAGCCUGAGCAAACUAACACAGCCUGGCAUUUUUGCUCUGAAGUUUACAGGAUUGAUUGGAAUUUAUGGGAAUAGAUUUAUAGUUGCACAACUCAAUGCUAUGCAGGGAUUUUCUCCAGCGUGAUUCCUUUGGUGAAACAGUGGCCCCCACUUCCUACUGUCUGCCCAAACCCAAGCCAGCGAAAGUGUCCAUUCACCCAUCCAUUCAGUCAUUUACUCAUUCAUUCAACAAAUAUUUAUUGAAGACUUACUGUAAAGGUCUUAUAAAAGGUGAUGGAACCUUGUCCAUAUCAGGGUUAGACAUGGCUAAGUUCUGGGGAAUUAGAACAUAUUAUUAAUCUCCAUAACAAAUACAGCUUUUGAUGACACACAGAAACGAAUGAAAUCGGACACAAAGUCCCAAUCAGUUUUUGGAAAUAAUCCACAAAAUAAAUGGAAGUUUCAGUUCCAUAAACAACUAAAUUGGAUCCAGAUAUCAGAUAAUUCCACAUUAUAUUGAAAAAGAAGAAAUCGGGCCAGGCAUCAGCAUGUUGGGAGGCUGAGGUGGGCAGAUCACUUGAGGUCAGGAGUUCAAGACCAGCCUGGCCAACAUGGUGAAACCUUGUCUCUACUAAAAAUACAAAAAUCAGCCAGGUGUGCUGGCACAUGCCUGUAAUCCCAGCUACUCAGGAGGCUGAGGCAUGAGAAUUGCUUGAACCUGGAUGGCAGAGGUUGCAGUGGGCCGAUUGUGCCACUGCACAUGGUUUGGCUGUGUCUCCACCCAAAUCUCAUCUUGAAUUGUAACUGCAAGAAUUCCCAUGUGUCGUGGGAGGAACCUGGUGGGCAGUGAUUGAAUAAUGGGGGCAGGUCUGUCCUGCACUGUUCUUGAGAUGGUGAAUGAGUCUCAUGAAGUCUGGUGGCUUUAGAAAUGGGAGUUUCCCUGCACAAAUUCUCUCUUCGCUUGUUUGCCCCCAUGUGAGAUGUGACUUUCACAUUCCACCAUGAUUGUGAGGCCUCUCCAGCCAUGUGGAACUUUAAGUCCAAUAAACCUCUUUCUUUUGUAAAUUGCCCAGUCUCUGAUAUGUCUUUAUCAGCAGCAUAAAAAUGGACUAAUACCAUCUUGUAUACUGUUUGGUUAAUAAAUGCCCUUCUGGGAGACAGGCCUCACAACAUCCACAAAAGCUGGGCUGCUUUCUGGGGCAGAAAGAGCUUAAUGAAGAUUAAUAUCUUUGUGUUGAGUGAACUCUGAGAUGGCUCCCUGUGGUCCCUGACUCCUGGUGUUCUCACCCUUGUGUAAUGUCCCCAAUUGUGUGCAGGCAGGACCUUCGAUUUGGUUUUAACAAACAGAGAAGAGCAAAGAUGAUAGGAUGUCACCUCUGUAAAUAUAAGAUGACGACUUGUGUCUUGG
rnacentral:lncRNA from 10 species